ACAAAAUAAACAUGUAAACACAAAACAACAGGAAACAAAUAUCUUUUGUGAUAAUAGUAUAUUAAGGAAUAACACAAAGUGUUAUAAUGGUUAUAGUUAUAUACAAUAUAAUAAUUAUAUAUAUACAUUUAUCAUUAUUAUUAAUAAAUAUGACUUUAUAAUUAUUAGCUUAAGAAAAAAAAGAAAAAGCUCUGAUGAUGUGAGGGAAGUAAUACAUUUUUCUUCAACUAGUAAUUUAAAUGAUGACAAGAAUGCUAUUUGUAAUGUUGUAAUAAAUAAAUGUGGGUUUGAAAUGUUUGACAGAGGUAAAAAUAGAAAUAGUAAUAGAUGUAGCAGUAAGAACGCAUACAAAGACGCUAACGAAAGUACAUGUAAAAGGGAUGGUAUGGGCAUGGCUCUGUUUAAAAACAUCUUUUGUUUAUUUGAAAUUUUAUGUUUUUUUGAAAAUGGUUGUGUAAAAAAGUAUUAUUACCUGUGUUCACGUAAUAUUGAUAAAUUGGAAUUUUGUUUAAAAAAAAAAGACACAACACAAAAUGAAAAUAAUAUUACCAAAAAGCAGCAGUUUGUACCAUUACUUUUUCCUUUUAACGAUCAAGUGUUAGAAGAAGAAGGUGAAGAAGGUGACGAAGGUGAAGAAGAAACAGAAGAAGAAAUAGAAGGGGAGAUAGAAGGAGAAUUAAAAAAAAAAAAAUGAACAACAAUAAUAACACUAGUAGUAAUAGUAAUAGUAAUAGUAGUAGUAGUAGUAUAAGUAGUAUAAAAUUAUACAACCUUGAAAUGAGUACUUAUAAAAGUUUAAUAUAUAUUUACUUUCGAAAAAAUAUGUAUGAGAAUGUAAAUAUGGCAAUAAACAAUCAAUGUUUGAUAAUUAAUUAUGUAAAAGCAAUAACAAAGCUUUUUAAAAAAAUAUGCAUUACAUUUGAUAACAAGAAAGGAAAAAAUGUCCAUUAUGACGAACAGUUUAUUUUAGAUAAUAAAAAAGACCAACACGAAAAAAAUGCGAGUCAUCUAGAGGAUAUAGCUAGUUGUAAUAGUGAUGAAAAACGUGGUGGGGGGGAAUCAUUUUUAAAUACAACAUGUAUUUCUACUGCUGUUACUGAUGGCAACCAAAAUAGCAACCAAAAUAGAUACAUCGAUAGCGAUUAUGGGCUAGCGAAACCAAGUUUAAUUAACUGCAAUCUGUUUACUCUUAGAGAUGACACAAAUUCUUUUUUAGAGUAUAAAUAUAUUUUAUUCGGUUUUUAUGAUUUAUUUUUAAUAAGUGAAAAUAACAAUAAUAAAUAUGAUAGUAACACAUAUUGUAGUAAUACAUAUGAUAGUAAUACUUGUGAUAGUAGUAAUAAUCUUUAUGUGGACAAUAUGCUAGAUAAAAAUAAAAACAGAAAUACAAAUUUAAUGUAUGUUAGUGACAUACAUAGUCAUUUUAAUUUUAUUAAUCUUAUAAAAAGUUAUUACAAGUAUGAUAAUGUUUUGCAAUUUAUAAACAAAGCACCAAGUAAAAACAAGGAUAGAAUAAAAAUGAAUUUUUACAUGUUUCUUCAAAUUUUAUUAUUUUUUAAAAAUAAUUAUAAACAUGAGUAUGUAACAUUUUUCCAUUCAGUAUAUAAUCACUUAGAAGAACAAACGACACAUUGUUCACCACUUGACGUUAACAAAUUAUAUGAUGAUAAUUUUAAUUUUUUGAAAUUUUAUGAAUUGUUUAAUAUAAAAAGGUAUUGUACAAUUUUAUUAGCUUUUUUCAUUCAUAUGUAUAAUUUUUGUUUAAAAGAAUAUGGUAUCAACAACAACGGUUUUAAUUUGCAUAUUACCUUUUUUUUAAUUAAUAAAAAAACAAAAAAAAAUAGGAACUUGUUUCGAUAUAUAUGUAAAAAUUAUAAAACUAAUUAUGACGGAGGCAUUUUGCAUAAACCGAUAAAUGCCUUACAUAAACAAACACAAGUAGACAUAAAAGAUGCAUUUUUCUCCAUGAAUAAUAUUUCCCAAGAAAAAGAAAACAAAAUAAAUGAUGAACUUAAAGAACAAACAUUGCUUAGUCACAUAAAUCCUGUUGAGAUAACUAUAGCUGAUGAUGGUAGGAAACAUAAAAUAACCGAUAAAACAAACCUGCAACAAGUUAAUAAUAAAACAUACGACAUAACAUUUUAUAAAUGUAUGUAUUACAUUCAUAAAUUAAAUAAUUAUUUAAAAAUAAUAUUAAACAAUAGAAAUAGUAGCUCCCGAAAAAAUAAUGAUAUGUGUGAUGUUUACACUAAUAUAUACAUUUGUCAAAUACUUUUUAUUAUGUUAAGUACAUUACGAAUUAAUAAUACUAAUGU
rnacentral:lncRNA from 1 species